GUCCCAGCCGCCGCGGUAAUACGUAGGUGGCAAGCGUUAUCCGGAAUUAUUGGGCGUAAAGCGCGCGCAGGCGGUCCUUUAAGUCUGAUGUGAAAGCCCACGGCUCAACCGUGGAGGGUCAUUGGAAACUGGGGGACUUGAGUGCAGAAGAGGAGAGCGGAAUUCCACGUGUAGCGGUGAAAUGCGUAGAGAUGUGGAGGAACACCAGUGGCGAAGGCGGCUCUCUGGUCUGUAACUGACGCUGAGGCGCGAAAGCGUGGGGAGCGAACAGGAUUAGAUACCCUGGUAGUCCACGCCGUAAACGAUGAGUGCUAAGUGUUAGAGGGUUUCCGCCCUUUAGUGCUGCAGCAAACGCAUUAAGCACUCCGCCUGGGGAGUACGGUCGCAAGACUGAAACUCAAAGGAAUUGACGGGGGCCCGCACAAGCGGUGGAGCAUGUGGUUUAAUUCGAAGCAACGCGAAGAACCUUACCAGGUCUUGACAUCCUUAUGCCAUCCCCAGAGAUAGGGCUUUCCCUUCGGGGACAUAAGUGACAGGUGGUGCAUGGUUGUCGUCAGCUCGUGUCGUGAGAUGUUGGGUUAAGUCCCGCAACGAGCGCAACCCUUGAUCUUAGUUGCCAGCAUUCAGUUGGGCACUCUAAGGUGACUGCCGGUGACAAACCGGAGGAAGGUGGGGAUGACGUCAAAUCAUCAUGCCCCUUAUGACCUGGGCUACACACGUGCUACAAUGGAUGGUACAAAGGGCAGCGAAACCGCGAGGUUAAGCAAAUCCCAUAAAACCAUUCUCAGUUCGGAUUGCAGGCUGCAACUCGCCUGCAUGAAGCCGGAAUCGCUAGUAAUCGCGGAUCAGCAUGCCGCGGUGAGUACGUUCCCGGGCCUUGUACACACCGCCCGUCACACCACGAGAGUUUGUAACACCCGAAGUCGGUGGGGUAACCGUAAGGAGCCAGCCGCCUAAGGUGGGACAGAUGAUUGGGGUGAAGUCGUAACAAGGUAACC
rnacentral:rRNA from 1 species